GAGCAAUGUGGCCCAUAGGCUCUUUUUUAACUUCUCUGAAACUACCUGGCCAAUCUUUGUCAUUCAAACUGGUUAGAUUUGAUAUUUUGUUCAUAGACUGUUGUAUUAGCCUAUCAAUUUUCAUAAAAAAUGAAGGAAAAAACUUAGUGGAUGUAAAUAUGAUUUGAUUAGGAUGUAAAAUCAUUGGUGGGGGUACCCAUGAAUUCCACAAAAAUUGAGGUACAACAAAUUCUAAUGUUUCCACAGUAUUUAUUUGAAUAAAAGCAAUUUAGGCUGUAUUUUUCAGGACCAAUAUGAGAUAAAUAGUGACUAUUUAUCUGGAGUUGUGGACAAUGAGCCAAAAUUAUCCAGAUUAGCAAGAAAUGGCAGUUUAUUAGAAGGAAUGAACUUCCUACUAGUUGGAUUUCCUUCAACUUAUAGGUUAAGGAUUUGAUUACUAUUCCGUCCAAGGAGAUGCCAAUCAGCAGUGAGUCCAUCAUCAUCAUUCCAGAUGGAACGAAUGAGGAAGUUAGGGCAUGUCUCUUGCAAGUCCAAAAACUGAGACAUUUACCAGUCCAGGUCACGGAGUCAUUUCUCGCCUAUGACAGCAGCAUUCAUUGAAAAGGGAACAUGGACUAUCGUACCAAAGUACAGACCGAGAAAAAAUGAAGAAAAAGAAAAGUACCUGCCAUGUGCACACUGUUUGGCCGUUGUUGUAGCUACAGACUUAUGGAAGCACCAAAAGUCAUGUCCAGCAAACAAAUCUCAACAAAAUUUAAAACAUCCUGUAUGUGAAGGACGUUUGCUGUUACCCUGUGACUCUGAAUUUUCAAAAAACUACACAAAUUGUUUAAAAAAAUUCUUGCUAUCUCCUUUGUAUUUUAAUACAUAUCUAACAUGUAAUGAUAAUAAAUUAUCAUAGAAAGGUUAAUUUAUCUUCGUAAAUGCACAGUUUAUACA